CAUUAAGUAGCUAAAACGUAAGCAUUGAUCUUUUAAAUCAUGAUAUAUUAAACUAACAAUUAUUCUUAAUGA
rnacentral:tRNA from 1 species